GAUAAGAUAGCAGUAUCCUGAGUAGUGCGGGGCACGUGAAACCCUGUGUGAAUCUGUGGGGACCAUCCCAUAAGGCUAAAUACUCCUGAGAGACCGAUAGUGAACUAGUACCGUGAGGGAAAGGUGAAAAGAACCCUGAAUAAGGGAGUGAAAUAGAACCUGAAACCAUACGCUUACAAGCGGUCGGAGCGGAUUUAUCCGUGACGGCGUGCCUUUUGCAUAAUGAGCCUACGAGU
rnacentral:rRNA from 1 species